CCGGAAAUCAGAAAAUCGUCAUAUCCGGAAAAUGUAAAUUAUUGACCGGAAGAGGUGUGUGUGUCUAUGAAGCCGGAAACAGGGGUAGGGGUGUUAAAAACUAGUUAAACAUGUUAAACCAUCCUACAGGGGGUGUCUUGAUUUGAAGGGUGUUAAAAACUAGUUAAACGUGUUAAACCAUCCUACAGGGGGUGU